GAAAUCCUCUAAGGAGCUCAGAUGGACAAGGCCAGGGGCAUCGAGAGAGAGAUAAGCUGCUGCUAAUGGCCGGGAAGCGGUCUUUUUGUGUGGACUUAUCUCAAGGAAAAUGGCCAUCUCAGGAGGUAUGCACAGGACUCUUGCUCAAGCACCCAGGAAUGUCACGUAGGCAGCAGAAAAUGGAGGAUAAAAGAGGGUCCAAUCACCGCAACGUGGGAAGCUGAUCCUUCACCACAACCACGGACUUGAGGGGUUCUCUGCCAUCUGAUCCUUCACCGCAACGUGUAGACGGAUCUCUACGUGGAGACUGAUCUCUCACCACGACACGAGCUUCCUGCCUUCCGAUCCUCCUCUACGGACCGUUUGCUGACGGACUUCCCUGGGCCUGCUACCUGAGACCUGCUGCUUCCUCCCUGACCUGCAUCCUCUCGCUGCUCCUGCCCUUCGGCCUCGGACCGUCGGAACAUCGUGCAACGGGACUGCUGCCGGAUCCUGGUGGGCAUGGAAAUGCAAAGUUUAUCCCUGCGCAGAUAACAAUUGCUAGGGCUAUGCUAAAGGCAACAUUUAGGACCACAGGGGCUGAGUGAUUCAUAGGAAUGUGCUGACUCUCUGCUGAGCUGUGAUUUUCACUCAAGCAAGAAGAACCUUUAACAGUUGCAGCAAACCACGUGAAACGUCAAAGUGAAGUCACUCAAGUUCCUAGUACUUUAAGAGAGAUUAUUUCAACAGAAAUUUUAUCCCCCUUGAAAAAGAAUGGAAGAUUCUCCACCUAUCUUUCAUGAAAGAAUGAUUUAUUUUUUACAGCUCCCUAUCAGUCACAGAAGCUUUGAUACUGGUUGAUUAAUCAAAGAGACUUUAUCAUCAAUCACAGUGAAACAUUUUUUUAAGUGCAGUUUUCCCCCGUGCCCCCAGACAAAAGACUUCACAUCAUUGUAACACAAGGACAAAACUGCAGCUUCCUAAGCAAAGCGGAAUACACCUUCGCUGUGCAUAUUUCUGUAAGAAGAGAGAAAAAUCCAAUCCUCAUGCCAAAUUUUUGCUGUUGGAUUCAGCUUUCUUGGACUUUGAUGCUAAACUACUGUUAGCUAUCAGUGAUCAUCACUGGGAUUCGGUUAAAUGUGCUUUGAAAUUUAUGGCUUGCUUUUAUUUUGCUCUGCUAAAGGACAGAUAAAGAUGGACAACCAUUUGGACAAUGGAAAUUAGCUAGAAAGGGACCAGUAUUUUUAUGAAUUACCCCAUUUUUGGGAGGUGGUUGUAUCUGGACCCAAGAGUUGGACGCGAUCCCUAUGGGUCCCUGGCAACUCUGGAUAUUCUAUAUAAGGUUAGGCAUUCUGCCAGUGCACAGCAGUCUUCUCUUACCCCACCUUGACCCCCAAAAAACAUGUAUGAAAAAUGCUUGGAAUUCAAAAUUAAAAAUUUUUAUUUUAUGCAUGUGCCAUUUUAUGCAUGUCACUAAACUGGGUGUAUGAACCCAGUUUAGUGACAUAUUCCUAUCAUUAUCCAGCAUGCAUAUUCCACACAUUUUAUGCUUCAUUUACUACUAAAUUAUUGGGGUUUUUUUGUCAAACAUCAGCAAUUCCAAGCUGUGAGGGUGAACACUUUCACAACAGUUUUGAAGAGCAAAACACUACAUCCAUACCUUCUUUUUUAAUAAAGGUUGCGAGAUCUCUUAG
ensembl:lncRNA